rnacentral:rRNA from 1 species
AAAUCCCGGGGCCCAACCUCGGAACUGCCUUCAAAACUACGUGUCUGGAGUUCGAGAGAGGUGAGUUGAAUUCCGAGUGUAGAGGUGAAAUUCGUAGAUAUUCGGAGGAACACCAGUGGCGAAGGCGGCUCACUGGCUCGAUACUGACGCUGAGGUGCGAAAGCGUGGGGAGCAAACAG